AAGGCUGCAAACGAAGCCAGAAAGAUGGUGGCCAGGACACCUAUGGCAACAAUCACCACGGUCUCCAUGCUUCCGGGGAGCUCCUGACUCAGUCCCGUUCACAUCCUCCUCAUGGGCUAAGGCUGCUGGAAGUGGCAAACUGGGGGAAGAGGAUGGCAGGAGCUAGGUUCCUCCACGACACCUCCAGAGACCUGAGGGCCUUAAGCUGCAGCUCCGGGGCACAUCCCGCUGCGCUCCCAUGACGGCCCCGCCGAUGGCAAAGUCAGCGGUCAACGUUUAUUGCUUCCUGAACUUUCCUGGAGGAUCAUCUGCCAUACUCCAGCAGAAGGGUGGAUUUGAAAAAAUAACGUUUCCACGGCAACAGUGGCAGCAAUUCAAAGGAAGAUGUUGGAGAAUUCACGUGCUAUUUUAGCUGGCUCUGUGAUUGCAAUCACACAAAUCAUUACAUUCCAGAGAGAUCCCAUCAACAGAAGGUUUUUCCAUUUCAGUCUGUCAAGGUAAA
rnacentral:lncRNA from 1 species